rnacentral:rRNA from 1 species
GACGAACGCUGGCGGCGUGCUUAACACAUGCAAGUCGAACGGAAAGGCCCUGCUUUUGUGGGGUGCUCGAGUGGCGGACGGGUGAGUAACACGUGAGUAACCUGCCCUUGACUUUGGGAUAACUUCAGGAAACUGGGGCUAAUACCGGAUAGGAGCUCCUGCUGCAUGGUGGGGGUUGGAAAGUUUCGGCGGUUGGGGAUGGACUCGCGGCUUAUCAGCUUGUUGGUGGGGUAGUGGCUUACCAAGGCUUUGACGGGUAGCCGGCCUGAGAGGGUGACCGGCCACAUUGGGACUGAGAUACGGACCAGACUCCUACGGGAGGCAGCGGUGGGGAAUAUUGCACAAUGGGCGGAAGCCUGAUGCAGCAACGCCGCGUGCGGGAUGAAGGCCUUCGGGUUGUAAACCGCUUUCGCCUGUGACGAAGCGUGAGUGACGGUAAUGGGUAAAGAAGCACCGGCUAACUACGUG